rnacentral:rRNA from 1 species
CAAGGGGGUCAUCCCGACUUACCAACCCGAUGCAAACUGCGAAUACCGGAGAAUGUUAUCACGGGAGACACACGGCGGGUGCUAACGUCCGUCGUGAAGAGGGAAACAACCCAGACCGCCAGCUAAGGUCCCAAAGUCAUGGUUAAGUGGGAAACGAUGUGGGAAGGCCCAGACAGCCAGGAUGUUGGCUUAGAAGCAGCCAUCAUUUAAAGAAAGCGUAAUAGCUCACUGGUCGAGUCGGCCUGCGCGGAAGAUGUAACGGGGCUAAACCAUG